CUGCGUGGCGGCAGGAUGGGGGCCGCUAGAUUCUUGGGUGCUCCUUGGUCUCCCGGUGCAGGACCAAGAUCAACCGCUAGAUUGUUAGCUCCAGAGUGCAGCAACAGGGAUAUAUGCACUGAAAUAUGGUUGUGAGUUCAUGAUCAAUUUGUCGAUACAAUAUCGGCACUUCGUGUGGGCGAUAAGAUGAACACGUAUGUCCCAAAGGAAAUUGGCAUUUCAAUUCUCGUUAUAUGUCAACCACCAGAAGAGCCUUACAUGAACAGCUAGCAUGGAUGUGAGAACUGCAGAACAUUGUCCUAACUGGUGUUGGAAGCUGUAGCUGUCUCAUCUGACUGCAGGAGUUGAUGUGUGGCUUCAAGUUCCAGUAUUGUUGUGGCAGUUACAUCCAAGUGGAUGACUACUCAAUCAAAUUGGUUAUCCUAGUUGUGCGUGGAAGAUUGAUUUGGUCAAUUAUUGGGAAAUUGUUUUCUGCCAAGGCUCAGCUUGCCGUCAACAGUUUUAUAGUUUCCAAUUCUUUAUAUGAAACGAAGUUCCAUUAUUUGAAAGGAAUUUGAAGGUUUGCAGGUUCAACAAUUCAAGUUCUAGGGAUGCUUAAUGGUGAGUGGUCAAUUAUUGGUGGCACCGGAGCCUUUUAUAAUGCACGUGGCUACAUUAAAUACAAAGAAGUCCCAAGUACCAUAAUAAGUAACAUCACUGAUAUUGUAAGAGAGCUUGACGUUCACAUAUUUACUCGGGAAACUUCAACCGUGGCUAAUGGUGGCCCUGUGCCUAUUUGAAAUGAAACAAGAGUCACGUGAAAUUGUGCUCUCAGUGCACAGAAAGUUUCUGUCAAUUAAGUACCCGUUACGUUAAUAAUUUGAAGGAGAUAAGUUGCCCAAGUGGAAACUUUCAGUAGUGUUGUUUACUACCGUCAGCCACUGCUUUUGUGAUCCAGUGUACCUGUAGCGUCUUCGGUGUUGUGUUAUUUCAAGCUCAGGGGUGUCCAUGUACAAGCACCUUUUUUAUUUCUUAUGCACGUCAAAUAAUAUGUGGUUUAUAGCUUGGGUUUAUGCAUAUAAUCCUACCUAUCGAUCUACGCUAAGUUGUACUAUGUGUAUGGAUCCAUGUUUGAAUAUUACCAUAUGUGUGAGAUACAC